AGUACUAACACACCAGAGGAAGGCUCUGGUUCAGAGCUGUGUUCUUCUAUGCGUAUUACCAGCAGGGAGCUGUUUUCUGUUGAGUGUUGAGGAACUGCAUGGAAAUGUCAGAGUGAGUCGCCACAUGGGAUCUCCUAGAGGAGAUCUGUAGCUCACAUUACAUGGAACAAGUCUCAUCUUUCAGAGGUACAGUAUGUUUAUAGAUAUUGUAAUGGACAACCUCUCAUUCAGCCUUCAACCCAGUUCCAGGCUUAGAUGGAGACCCUGAUGGAAGGAUUUUUCCAGGGCUGGAGUAUUUGCAAAUUGAUGAUUGCUUCAAAGAGGCCAUUUGGAAGGCUCAGCAGUGGCACUUCUGAGAGAUCUGUCCACCUGGGAAGAAUGUGCUGUUUCACAUACAUACAAAAAGCUCAGUUCCUUUUCCAGAGCUUCUCCCAACAACCUACCCCAGCCCUCCUCCAACCUACAUUCCUGCUAGAUGAAUCUGUUGUUUGUCCAGCCUGGGAAGUGAUAAUGGGAGAGAGAGCUUGGUCUUCCAACAUGCUGAAGAUAUUCACAACAUGGUACUUUGCAUCAACACAAAGCAGCAGGCACUCCAAAUAAUAUCACAACCUUUAAGCAAAACACCACAAUGUCCAACCUGGCCAGAAUCCAAUGGACUGUCUUCUCCCCAACCAUUCCAGGGGAUGCCAUUGUGACUGCAGGUUUGGCAUCAUUGUCUAAAUUUCAGCUGCAAAGUUCAGGUAUCGCCAAGGCUUUUAGGUUUCCAACUAAAUAUAGAGAAUACAGCCCAGCAAGAACAUUUCAUCUAUAUCUGAAAUUUUGUAUUACUGGAAAGUAUGACUCUGGGAUUUUUCUUUGUGCCUCUUUCUUCAAAAAAAAAAAAGGGAAGCUACUUCAGAGUGGAACUAUGGUUUCAGUAGCAUGAUUAUAGUAAAAUUUUUUAAAAAAGAAAGGCUUUGGAAUUUAAAAUAGUUUUCUUUUACCAGCACUAAAAAUGAUGGAAUUUCUUUUCCAAAUUUGUUUUACUUUAAAGAAUUAAAUCUUUCUUAAUUGGCUAAAUUGAUAAAGUGUACUUGAUCUUAACUAUCUUAAAAACAUAAAUUAUUUACAGAGAGUUUAGCCCCCUUAGUUGUAGCUGAAUAUAGGCAGACAGACUUUUUUGGAUAAAUAUGAUAUAUUAGUCAUCAACUUGGGAGACUUCCAUUCAAUUCCCAUCUCUGCCACAAGCUGUUUGUGUAACUCCUUCCAAAUCACAGAAUCUUUCUGUGCCCCUUUCCCUCCCAUCUGUAAAAUAGGUAUAAUAACAUUUCCUGUUUCUCAGAAAUAUAAUGAGAAUAAAUGCACUGAAAACUCAGAGGAUGUAGGUUGU
rnacentral:lncRNA from 1 species